CUCAAAGAUUAAGCCAUGCAUGUCUAAGUACAAGCUGAACUAAAGUGAAACCGCGAAUGGCUCAUUAAAUCACACCUAAUCAACUGGAAUGUUCGAUUAUAUAUGGAUACCUGAGGUAAAUCUUGAGCUAAUACAUGCAACAAGUCCCGACUUUAUUGGAGGGACGCACCUAUUAGAUUAAAACCAAAUGGCUUCGGCUGUUAAUUUUGAUGACUCAAGAUAGACUUUAGGCUGAUCGCAUUGCCUUGUGCAGGCGACGGUUCCAUCGAAGGUGUGCCCUAUCAACUGUCGACUGUGAUAUAGACGCUCACAGUGGUUUUGACGGGUAACGGGGAAUCAGGGUUCGAUUCCGGAGAGGGAGCCUUAAAAACGGCUACCACAUCCAAGGAAGGCAGCAGGCACGCAAAUUACCCAAUGGUCGUAGACCGAGGUAGUGACGAAAAAUAACCAUACAAGACUCAUCCGAGGCCUUGUAAUGGGAAUGAGUACAUUUUAAAACCAUUCCCGAGGAACAAUUGGAGGGCAAGUCUGGUGCCAGCAGCCGCGGUAAUUCCAGCUCCAAUAGCGUAUAUUAAAGUUGUUGUGGUUAAAAAGCUCGUAGUUGGAUGUCGGCGUGCAUUGGUCGGUUUGUAUAGCUACAAUACUGACUCUCUGGCACGUUUCUUGGUCAGAAUUUGGUGGGUGAUCUUAAACGAUUGUCCGCCAGGACUGGCUGGUUUACUUUGAAAAAAUUAGAGUGCUUAAAGCAGGCCUUGUUGCCUGAAUAUUCGUGCAUGGAAUAAUAGAAUAGGACGUUGUUUCUAUUUUGUUGGUUGUUGGAAAGGAACGUAAUGAUUAAUAGGGAUUGCCGGGGGCAUUUGUAUUCAAGCGCUAGAGGUGAAAUUCUUGGACCGUUUGAAGACAAACUACUGCGAAAGCAUUUGCCAAGAAUGUUUUCAUUAAUCAAGAACGAAAGUUAGAGGAUCGAAGGCGAUUAGAUACCGCCCUAGUUCUAACCAUAAACGAUGUCAGCCAGCGAUCCGUCGUGGUUUGAUUUUCUGACCCGACGGGAAGCUUCCGGGAAACCAAAGCUUUUGGAUUCCAGGGGAAGUAUGGUUGCAAAACUGAAACUUAAAGGAAUUGACGGAAGGGCACCACCAGGCGUGGAGCCUGUGGCUUAAUUUGACUCAACACGGGAAACUUUACCAGGCCCGGACACUAGAAGGAUUGACAGAUUGAAAGCUCUUUCUCGAUUUGGUGGGUGGUGGUGCAUGGCCGUUCUUAGUUGGUGGAGUGAUUUGUCUGGUUAAUUCCGAUAACGAACGAGACUCUGUCCUGCUAAAUAGAACGUAUCUUAUUGAUGGAAACGGUUCUCUUCUUAGAGGGACUGGCGGUUUUUAGCCGCACGAGAUUGAGCAAUAACAGGUCUGUGAUGCCCUUAGAUGUUCUGGGCCGCACACGCGCUACACUGAAUUGAUCAGCUAGUUUUUCCUGCCUUGGGAGAGGAGGGUAAACUGUUGAACCCAAUUCGUGGUAGGGAUCGGAGCUUGCAAUUAUUCUCCGUGAACCAGGAAUGCCCAGUAGGAGCAAGUCAUAAGCUUGCUUCGAUUACGUCCCUGCCCUUUGUACACACCGCCCGUCGCUACUACCGAUUGAGUGUUUUAGUGAGGUCCUCGGAUUGCUGGCCUGGCGGUUAACGCUGCCUAGCUGGCGAAAAGACGACCGAACUGUAGCA
rnacentral:rRNA from 1 species